AGUGAACGCUGGCGGUAAGCCUAACACAUGCAAGUCGAACGGCAGCACAGUAAGAGCUUGCUCUUACGGGUGGCGAGUGGCGGACGGGUGAGGAAUACAUCGGAAUCUACUUUUUCGUGGGGGAUAACGUAGGGAAACUUACGCUAAUACCGCAUACGACCUACGGGUGAAAGCAGGGGAUCUUCGGACCUUGCGCGAUUGAAUGAGCCGAUGUCGGAUUAGCUAGUUGGCGGGGUAAAGGCCCACCAAGGCGACGAUCCGUAGCUGGUCUGAGAGGAUGAUCAGCCAAACUGGAACUGAGACACGGUCCAGACUCCUACGGGAGGCAGCAGUGGGGAAUAUUGGACAAUGGGCGCAAGCCUGAUCCAGCCAUACCGCGUGGGUGAAGAAGGCCUUCGGGUUGUAAAGCCCUUUUGUUGGGAAAGAAAAGCAGCAGGUUAAUACCCCGCUGUUCUGACGUUACCCAAAGAAUAAGCACCGGCUAACUUCGUG
rnacentral:rRNA from 1 species